rnacentral:lncRNA from 1 species
UCUAACUCCAGCUCUAAAGUGAUCUACCCACUUUGGCCUUUCAAAGUGUUGUGAUUACAGUUUUGGAAAGAUAAAAGACAAGAAGACAUUCUUACCACCCACCGCAACCAGGCACCUGCAGGUAGGGAUCUGAGGCCUCAGUAAAAUUGUUUUUCUUUCUUUGCUUUUUUUAAAAAAAUUAUUAUUGUCAGUUUUCCCAGGAUCUCAUCUGCAGUCUCCCAAUGAGUAGAGUGAUUUGUUCUCUUGGCUCACAAAAACUAUAGGGUGAAGAGAAUUUUUCUUCCCUCCUUUCUGAAAUUUUGAGUCUGUAAAACAAACAUAAUAGAUAGAUUAACAGAAAAGGCAU